CCUACGGGAGGCAGCAGUGGGGAAUAUUGCGCAAUGGGGGAAACCCUGACGCAGCAACGCCGCGUGAGUGAAGACGUAUCUCGGUAUGUAAAGCUCUAUCAGCGGGGAAGAAGGAAGACGGUACCCGACUAAGAAGCCCCGGCUAACUACGUGCCAGCAGCCGCGGUAAUACGUAGGGGGCGAGCGUUAUCCGGAUUUAGUGGGUUUACAGGGUGCGCAGGCGGUCUGUUAAGUCAGCGGGAAAAGCCCGGGGCUAAACCCCGGCCCGCCGUUGAAACUGGCAGUCUCGAGUUGGAGAGAAGUAUGCGGAAUGCGCGGUGUAGCGGUGAAAUGCAUAGAUAUCGCGCAGAACUCCGAUUGCGAAGGCAGCAUGCCGGCUCCACACUGACGCUGAGGCACGAAAGCGUGGGUAUCGAACAGGAUUAGAUACCCCAGUAGUC
rnacentral:rRNA from 1 species